CAUUCCAUACCCCGACUCGUACUCGCUAUAUUCUCGCCUCCUGAGAAGAAAAAUGGAACAAAAAGGAAAAGGGUGAGCUCGACUAGCCCAGUAAAGAAUAUUAUGACUAAGAUAAUAUACAACAAAAUUAUCGUUAGUCUUCAACAGGGAAAAAUAUAAUAGAAUACAAUAGACAACAAGUUUUAAAUCAAUAUUCGCAGCGGAAAUAAUAAUUCAUUAGAAGAGUUAAGUAGAGAAUGCAAACUACUAUCUUCUAUGUAUGAAUUUUAAAGUUCAUCGUCUAUUUUUAUCCCUGUAACAUCAAUCAAUAUAUAUCUGGGAUCAAAUAUUCAUCCUUGCACUACAGGCCAAGGACAUUCACCAGUUGGUCAUGUUCAUCUAAACACCUGUUCAUCUUUGCACUACGGGCCAAAGAUAUUCAUCAGAAAUCAUUCAUCUUUGCACUACUGGCCAAAGAUAUUCAUCAUAAAUCAUUCAUCUUUGCACUACAGGCCAAAGAUAUUCAAUAAUAUCAUCAUUUAAGACUGAGGAUGAUGAAAAAUUUUUUUUUUAAAGAAACGAAUCCAGUGAAACAAAAUGACAAGGAUUAAGGAUUAAGGAUUCGUACUUUGUUUUAUCCACGUCCAAAAAUACCUCAAAAAUAAUCAUAGUGGUGUAAAAUUCAAGAAUGAUCAAAACAUGGAUACAAUCAAAGCUAGUAUCCACAAUAGAUAUUUUGGACGAAAAGAAAAAUUUUCAUUUUUCGAUGAAUAGUGCCGUAUUCGUGAAUAGUACCGUAUACGUGAAUAGUGCCGUAUACGUGAAUAGUAACUCCGACACCAAAAGUUCCAAAUUUGAUAAAAACUUCAGAUCAAUAUUUCAGCAUAAUGAUAUUGAAGAAAUAAUAUCAUUACGAAAAAAAAUAAUAUCCCUUACCUCGGAAAGACAGUACUUCUAACUGGAAUACUGGAUAUAGGCUAUAACUUGAACUUUCACCGUAUAGCAAUACUCAAAGUAUACUCAAAAUACUCACAAGAAUACGCUCGAUAAUAUAGAGAGAGAAAACUUCAGUUUCUGGUGUGAUUUUCAAUUCUAACCUAAGCACCUAUUUAUAGGAAAUUGCUUAGAACACCAAAGCAGAAAAUUUAAUAUAAUAUUAAUAUAUAUAAAAAUAUUAUACGUAUUCCUUGAAAUCUUAAUCUCAGCAAUUCACACAUGCCAACCUUCUAGAAAAAAAUAAAAAAAACGUUUUUCUAAUUUAAAAUAUUUUAAACUUCCAAAAAUCAAUUAUUUCGGAGCUUCGGAACUUCAAUAAUUCAUAAUAAAUAGCCCUUUUAUCAGAAAAUUCGAAUCUCGCGAGUUUUUAUAGGAAAUUCAAUUCUCUACAACUUUGCAGAAGAAAGUUUUUCCAAAUUCCAAACAGAAAUUGACCGAAAUCCACAAACGGGCGAUUUUAGAGGCUAUAAUCAAAUUUCAGUCAAUAAAUGGGGUCCACCGACAUGUUUAACAUGUUUUAAACAUUUAUUGCAACAAAAAUACUCUUCCUCCUCGUAUACUCAUAUAUCCCACAUUCGUUGUAAAAAUAUCACCAUUAUUAUAUUAUUAAAAUAUAAUAAUAUAUAUAUUUAAAUGAAUUAUUUUAUCAGAAAAAGAUAAAAUUUCAAUUUUCAACAAUUGUCACAUUAAAAAUUUUCUCCAUCUAUAUCCACAUAAAAUCAAUAUUUUCCUCAUCAUAUGAAUCAAUAAUUAAUUAUUCACAAAUAAUAUUACAGAAUCACAAUAUUGACAACCAGGCAGUUCCCAGGAAAGAGGGGGCUUUCCAAUAAGAAUUUCUCCUUACUGGCGCGCAAUUAGGUGACCAAACCUCUCCUUAGACAGAACUUUCUAGACAUUGCCAAUAAUGUUAUCUAAUAAUAUUAUUCAGAUAAUAUGAAUUAUUGCUUCGAUAAUGAAAAAUACUGUGUAAUGACAAUUAUUGAAACAACAGCAAUAUAAAAUAUCAACGCAACAAUUAUUGAACCAAUAAAAUACUGAACAGUAAUUACUGUAACCAUUAUUGAGUAGUGCCUUCUUACGUAAGAGUCAAUAAUUGGUGCAAUACCGUGUGCUACUGUGCAACAACGCGUAUUACUGUGUUUUAACCACCGGGUAUUUCAAUAGUGUAAACGGUAACAACUACGCCGUUAUUUUUGAACAACUUAUAUUUGUCGUUUUCUUCCUCCAAUCGCUUUCCGUUAUGGGGCCCACACAUAACUGCGCCGUCGUACGAAUAUUCCCCGACAGUACGAAUAUUCCACAACCAAACGAAUAUUCCCCGACAACAAUGAAUAUUUUAUAACCACUUGCUUAUUUUGAAAUAUUUGCGUAUUUUACCCAUAACUAUCCACAUUAAUCACAUCAACCCUUACUAUUUCAAAAUAAUAAUUAGAAAAAAUUAAAUUUCAUUUAUUAAUUAUUUAGAGUCUUACAAUAUACCUGCCUUUUAGAGCAUAUAGAAGACCAUAGAAAAGAUUAAAAUGCAAAUUAGCAACUGAAUAUAUGUUACUAAAGUAUGAUAUUGAAGAGGAAGACGUGGGUCCAAAAUAUGAAGAUCAAACCAUUUGAUUUUGGGUUUCAUUGAUUCUGAUUAAACUGAUUGUUUGAAAUCUCACUUCAUUUAUUUAUAUUCUUUAUUUAUCUAUGACCCCUUGAAUUAAUUGGUACUCUUUCACAAAAAAAAGUCUUAUGUCAGUUUUUUGUUCCAUUUUUUUUUUAUAGAAAAAGAGUUAUAUUUUAGUUUUUUUUGUUUUAUUUUUAUAUACUCAUAAAUUCAUUACAUUUUUGGAAUUUUAUACUAUUAAGACGGGAUACUUAUGCCAUAAGAAUCUAGUAAUGAACAGUGAGAAGUAAGACUUUUGUCUAGUUUUCCUUUACCUUGUGCAUUCAUCACUUGGAAUUAGGAUUCAAGUUCACCCAAAUCACACAGUUAAGAUGCAUGCAGAAAUUUCACCCACAAGUUCGUAUUCCUAAGUUUAACAUAAAAAGCAAAACAACCAGCAUCCUCAAGUUUAAGAAAAAGACGAGGAAAAAAAAUAUUCCUAAGUUUGUAAGUAACAUGAGACUUUUUAAAAAGUAACAACCAUCCUCAAGUUAGUAACACUACAUGCAGAAAUUUCUUAGGUACAGGUAACUGGUCCUUCAGUUAAGAGAGGAUUAACUAAAUAGGACUGUUGAUUUCUAACAACCAUAAUUUAUCAACAUUUGUGAUCCGGUAUCUCGGUGAACAGGACAAUGAAAAUUAAAAUUCAAUUACAAUAAGUAAUAAAUUCAUUCGUUUAUUACUUCUGGAUCAAGUAUCCAAAUAUUUUUAAAACACUAUAAACAGUUUUAUACGUUAGUAGUAUUUAUCUAAAACAUCACCCGAAAAAAGAAAAAAAAAGACAAAGACAAAGACAAAGAAGAGCUUUAUAACAACUCAAUAUCACAUCUAAUUUGUUCGAUUCUAUCUCCUUUCUAAUGGAUGAUAAGUGUGCUUCAAGAAAUACUUUUGAACAAUACCACUUGGUUCAAUAGGUAAAAUUCAUAUGCUUAACGUAUAUUUUCCAUAAAAUACCGCCACUUAGAGAUGUAGUAGAAGUUCUGAUAAGUAUAAGUGAAAAGACAAGCGGAAAUUUAACUGAUACCAUGCAAAAAGAAUUUGAUGAGAUAAGAAGCCUUCAUGUAGCAUGUGCCCCUACCAGUUAUAUAGAUCACUCACCCUGAAAUGCAUGCAAGUAUUCACAUCGGAACAAAUUUCAUCAAAAAAAGAAAAGACACAAGCUCAGUGUAAUCGAAUGGAUAAAAAAUAAUAUAAGCAAGAACAGAUGUAAAAGGUCACCUCAAAUUAUACAACCCCCACCACAGGCAAUAACAGUACUUAGAAAGGAAGUUUUUAGAAUAAACGAUACUAAAUGAUAAAGCCUACUCGAAUAUUCCAAAAUCAAAAGGUUUAUUUUCGCCUUCUACAUCACAUUUUUAAUCGAAACAGAAUCACUAAUGUUGCUCCAGAUAUUAUAACCCAACAAACUGCAAAGAACUUACUUUAUUGUUAAGCUAUAGCUAAUGAAAGCACAAAGUAAACAAAAAUAAAUAUAUAAAUCAGAAAGAGUAUGAAAACAAAAUAAUAAAUUAAAAAGGAUGAGAAUCAUUUCAACUUCAAAAUAAUAAGAAGAAUGAAGUCAAAGACACAAGGCAUAAAGCAACAAAAAUUAGGACUAUGUUAUAAACUUGCGACAACUCUAUAAUCCCUUCCUAGAAGAUUGCACAAAUAUGCUUUUCUAAUAUCACGAUAAUUAAAAUAACAAUACAAUGACGAUAACACAAAUCUCGUACUGAUGGUUUCCUAAAAUAAUUAUUAAGUGGCUAAAUAAUUUUAAUUUGAUAACAUCCCACCCAUCAUCACCAUAAACUUUAACAUAAAAGGCAAAACAACCAACAUUUAAUAAUCCCAAAUCAAGACAAAACUAAAAUUGAAGAAAACCCAUGUCAUAUCACACUCUUACAGAAAAAACACUUCAGUAAAACAGGAAACACAUAAAAUGACAAACCUUGAUCAAGAGUUCAUUAAGAGUUUUCCAAACCAAAUCCUCAAAAAACCCAAAAGCACGCAUAACAUCGUAUGUAGCAUCCUUUUGCCUGUUACCCACCUGCAAAAUUUCACCCACAAGUUCAUAUUUCACAAAAAUCAGAAAUGGGUAUUCCAAAAAUGCUAAUAAAUCUAGAGAAAAUGGGAUUUGGUUACCUUUGGGCGUCUUCAAUUUUCUUCUUUGAAACAAUAUCUAUUACAAAUCUGGUAAAACAAUUCAGAUGUCUUCAAUUUCCCUCAAUCAAAUGAAAUUAUUACAUUAAGCUUUGUUUGGAAACGUACCUGAGCGAAUAGACUGAGUAGCUAGGGCUUAGAUUUUUUGAUCUUUGGCUUCAUUUCCCUAACCUAUAUAGAAAGAAUCGUGGAUGGUCGGCAAAUCUGAGAUGAAAAUAAACCAAAUAUGACAUGGAAGAUGGACGACAGUGUAAAUUGUUUCAAAAAUCGGAGAGCAAAUUUUGGUUCAAGGAUGAGCAGGUUUUGGAACAAGGAGAGAGGAGAAACCCAAAUUGGUAAAGAAGAAAUAAACCUAGCUAGUCCAUCCUCUAACUGAAACAUCAAAUUUUGGCUAAGGAAUACAGGUGAAACACAAUUGAAACCCAAUUGAUCUCCGUUUCAUGCUUUCCGGAGUACCAAACACGCACACAACUGAAGAGUGCUCUGUUACAAAAAAAAGAGUUU
rnacentral:lncRNA from 1 species